UACGGAGGAUGCGAGCGUUAUCCGGAUUUAUUGGGUUUAAAGGGUGCGUAGGCUGGUAAUUAAGUCAGUGGUGAAAUACUCCGGCUCAACCGGGGGGCUGCCGUUGAUACUGGUUACCUUGAGUUUAGAUGAUGUGGGCGGAAUGUGUCAUGUAGCGGUGAAAUGCAUAGAGAUGACACAGAACACCGAUAGCGAAGGCAGCUCACAAAGCUAUUACUGACGCUGAUGCACGAAAGCGUGGGGAUCAAACAGUA
rnacentral:rRNA from 1 species